rnacentral:rRNA from 1 species
GUCGCACGAGAGAGGGAGCAUCCUAAGUAAAGUGGCGCACGGGUGAGUAACACGUGGAUCAUCUACCUUUUAGUGGGGAAUACCUCUGGGAAACCGGAGACAAUACCGCAUAAGCCCGCAAGGGGAAAGCAGCAAUGCGCUGAAAGAGGAGUCCGCGGCCGAUUAGCUAGUUGGCGGGGUAACGGCCCACCAAGGCGAAGAUCGGUAGCCGGCCUGAGAGGGCACACGGCCACACUGGCACUGAAACACGGGCCAGACUCCUACGGGAGGCAGCAGUGGGGAAUCUUGCACAAUGGGCGAAAGCCUGAUGCAGCGACGCCGCGUGAGCGAUGAAGCCCUUCGGGGUGUAAAGCUCUUUCGACGGGAACGAUAAUGACGGUACCCGGAGAAGAAGCUGCGGCUAACUACGUGCCAGCAGCCGCGGUAAUACGUAGGCAGCGAGCGUUGUUCGGAAUUACUGGGCGUAAAGAGUGUGUAGGCGGUGUUCCCAGUCUGUUGUGAAAUCUCCCGGCUUAACUGGGAGGGUGCAGCGGAAACUAGAAUGCUAGAGGGUGGGAGAGGUAAGCGGAAUUCCUGGUGUAGCGGUGAAAUGCGUAGAUAUCAGGAGGAACACCUGUGGUGUAGACAGCUUACUGGACCACUUCUGACGCUGAGACACGAAAGCGUGGGUAGCAAACAGGAUUAGAUACCCUGGUAGUCCACGCCCUAAACGAUGCAUACUUGGUGUGAGCGAUU